rnacentral:lncRNA from 1 species
UUAAUUAAAUAUUAAUAAACAAUCUUGAUAUAUUGGACGAUCGCUCAAUAACCGCUCGACGCUCCGCCCUAGCUCACUUGAGUGGCUAGAUCCGCCCCUGACUCUGUGUCAGAGCUUUGAAGUUUUUGUUUCUUUAAGGGUGGAAAGCUUCAAUUGCACAAAACACUUGUGUGCAUAGAUUGAAGUUCUACACGAGUAUUGUAUUGCAACUACUAUCAACGUGAAAUUUUUUCACGUCAACUUUUUCAAAAAUAUUAUGGCCCUGUUUCGUAUCAAUCUUUUCCUCAAUAUAAGUAGGUAUCGGAACAGUUCCAAAUGCAAAGGGUUGAUAAACAAGGGUCAGUAACCGGGAUGGAUUGUAACACUAAAACAGAAA